UGGCGAGCGCGUUAGCGCGAAGUCGUUGAUACCACGCUUCCAAGAAAAGUCUCGUGGGGAGUCUGCAGGGUGUCCGUACCGCAAACCGACACAGGUGGGUGAGGAGAAAAUCCUAAGGCGAUUGAGAGAACUCUCUCCAAGGAACUCGGCGAAUUACCACCGUAACUUCGGAAGAAGGUGGGCCCUCCGUAGGUGUAGUCGUACAGACGAAGCCGAUGAGGGUUGCAGAGAAAUGGCGGUAGCGACUGUUUACCAAAAACACAGGACUCUGCGAAGACGACAAGUCGACGUAUAGGGUCUGACUCCUGCCCGGUGCUGGAAGGUUAAGGGGAUUCGUCAGCCGCAAGGCGAAGCGAUGAUCCGAAGCCCCAGUAAACGGCGGCCGUAACAAUAACGGUCCUAAGGUAGCGAAAUUCCUUGUCGGGUAAGUUCCGACCUGCACGAAUGGAGUAACGACUUCCGCGCUGUCUCGGAGAGGGACUCAGCGAAAUUGAAAUAGCUGUGCCGAUGCAGUUUACCCGCAGCAAGACGGAAAGACCCCGUGAACCUUUACUACAACUUGACAGUGACACUAGGGAUUGACUGUGUAGGAUAGGUGGGAGCCUUUGAAACCGGGCCGCUAGGUUCGGUGGAGGCAACGGUGAAAUACCACCCUGUUGAUUUCUGGUGUCUAACCGUGUCCCAUAAUCUGGGAUCGGGACACUGUCUGGUGGGUAGUUUGACUGGGGGUCGCCUCCCAAAGCGUAACGGAGGCGCGCGAUGGUUCCCUCAGCCCGAUUGGAAACCGGGCGGCGAGUGCAAUGGCAUAAGGGAGCUUAACUGCGAGACAGACAUGUCGAGCAGGUGCGAAAGCAGGUCAUAGUGAUCCGGUGGUUCUGAAUGGAAGGGCCAUCGCUCAACGGAUAAAAGGUACUCCGGGGAUAACAGGCUUAUCUCCUCCAAGAGUUCACAUCGACGAGGAGGUUUGGCACCUCGAUGUCGGCUCAUCGCAUCCUGGGGCUGGAGCAGGUCCCAAGGGUUUGGCUGUUCGCCAAUUAAAGCGGUACGCGAGCUGGGUUCAAAACGUCGUGAGACAGUUUGGUCCCUAUCUGCUGUGGGCGUAGGAUACUUGAGAGGAUCUGUCCUUAGUACGAGAGGACCGGGAUGGAGACACCUCUGGUGUACCAGUUGUCACGCCAGUGGCAUCGCUGGGUAGCCAUGUGUCGAUUGGAUAACCGCUGAAAGCAUCUAAGCGGGAAACCGACCUCAAGAAUAGGUAUCCCGGGGGAAACCCCCUGAAGACCCGUCGGAGACUACGACGUUGAUAGGCCGGGUGUGUAAGCGUGGCAACACGUUGAGCUAACCGGUACUAAUUGGUCGUGCGGCUUACUUCC
rnacentral:rRNA from 1 species